UACGAAGGGGGCUAGCGUUGCUCGGAAUCACUGGGCGUAAAGGGUGCGUAGGCGGGUCUUUAAGUCAGGGGUGAAAUCCUGGAGCUCAACUCCAGAACUGCCCUUUGAUACUGAAGAUCUUGAGUUCGGGAGAGGUGAGUGGAACUGCGAGUGUAGAGGUGAAAAUUCGUAGAUAUUCGCAAGAACACCAGUGGCGAAGGCGGCUCACUGGCCCGAUACUGACGCUGAGGCACGAAAGCGUGGGGAGCAAACAGGG
rnacentral:rRNA from 1 species